rnacentral:lncRNA from 1 species
GGUGGGGUUUUUGUUGUUUACUCUUUAGUUUUCUAUGUUGUGUUAUGUGUACUAUUGUUUGUCUGUUUGUCUUUUUCAUUUUUAGCCAUGGCGUUGUCAGUUUAUUUUAGAUUUAUGAGUUUGACUGUCCCUUUGAUAUCUUUCGUUCCUCUUUUUCAUUUCUUUUCGUGAGCAGCUCUACACUUCAUGUAUAUUCUGUACAUAAAUAGUUCAUAC